rnacentral:lncRNA from 1 species
GGAAGGGAGGAAGCGUAGAAGGUGCCGAUGCACUUUUCCUCUCUCCAGCCCUCCUGACUGCUCCAAGAAUUUCAUCGAACAAGACUCAAAGAGGCCCAGCUGCUCUGCGUUUUGAUUCUUCUCCCUCUCUCAGUCCACACUGACCUGGGAGGGGCUUCUCAAACACCACAUUUCCUAGCGUGCUGUGAGAAGAGGACUGUGAGCUAAGAAGGGAGAAAAGAGAGUCUAAGUGCCAUUCAUAUAGGCCCCCCAAUUUGUUACCCUUAGCAUCAGAAAAUGAAAUCAGUAAACACCAAAUGAAAGCAACAACAAAAAAAUUAACUUCAGGAUCUAAAGUUCACAUUUAAAACAGCUUCAAAAGUAACAUGCACAACUGGCAACGAUCUCUUCAGACUACUAAUGUCCAGAUCUGACAAUUAAUAUGCUAAAGGUGGCCAGUAUGCAAGUGGUAACAGAAAACAGAAGGGAAAACCGAAGAAAGUUCAUGAAUUCUCUACCUCUGAGCAAGAGUUAGCUAGCUGAGUAUGUUACCGAAUCUCACUUUGAGGACUAGGAGUGGGAAUCCAGAUUUAAUUCCUAGUUAGUCAUUAACUAUAUGAACUUACUUAGAUUUAACUUCUUUGGGCCUCAGUUUACCUCUAAAAUGAGUACAAUUGUCAAUGAAAUUCACAAACAUUUACCAUGUGGGUAAAACAAAAAGCAUAGCCCUUGCUCCAAAUUCUGACACGUCUAAAUUCUAUGACUGUUUUGGCUAUGACUUUCUCACUCUUAGAAUAACUGGGUUUAUUAGGAAUUACAAUUAGUU